rnacentral:rRNA from 1 species
UACAGGGGGUGCAAACGUUGCUCGGAAUCAUUGGGCGUAAAGCGCACGUAGGCGGUUCGUUAUGUCGGAUGUGAAAGCCCUUGGCUUAACCGAGGAAGUGCAUCCGAAACUGGCGAGCUAGAGUACGAAAGAGGAUCGCGGAAUUCCCCGGUGUAGAGGUGAAAUUCGUAGAUAUCGGGAGGAACACCGGUGGCGAAGGCGGCGAUCUGGGGUCGAUACUGACGCUGAGGUGCGAAAGCGUGGGGAGCAAACAGG